ACCUUUCGAAAACAUAAACUGUAAAAAAACAAUUCAAACUAAGGAGGUAAUAAUUGUAUUAGUUUGUUUAACUAAUGUUCUCCCCGAUGCAAUAUUAAAACCCUCUCAAUUAAUUUUGUUUAGUUAUAGUGUUACACAUCUUACUACAAGUGUAUGAUGUAUUCCCUUCGUAAACUACUACAAGACUUUUUAGAUCACGAAUACUCAAUAUAUUUUUCUGCGAGAAAUGAUGUACUCAAUAUUGUAAAUGUUAAAAAUGUAAGUUUCUGAACAUAAACCUUUUACUUGGAAGAACAAACACUACAUUUAUAAUAUUUAUCAAAUAUAUAAUUUUUAAUCUAGAUACCAGAAAGAAGUAUUGAUAUAUGAGGGAUAUGCAAUAGAAUAUAUGUACUAAAAAUGAAAUUGUACACCCACCUCUUUAGCCUCUUCAAUAAGCUCAUCGUCUAAUUUCUUCAACAAUAAGAAAGAUUUUGGAGGAUAUCUCCACAUAAGCAUAUGUUGCUGAGUACUAGGAUGAGUAAAACCUAAAGAUGAAAUGUACAUAUGUCUCCUCUAGUUCAUGGUGUGUUCCAUCGUCAUGGAUGUCGGAGCAACUACUACAACCCUGCCCACAUGCAGUAUAAAACACCCUUUUGAAAUCGCGGGGAUCGGACCAUGUGUGUCUAUUUUGUGUGUCGUUGUGUCUAACUAACACCGAGAAGACCCAAGCGACCCAAGCCGCUCCCUUUGACUUGAAGCACGCAACUGUGUUUAGUCGCCCACAACUAGCCAUCGUGGAAGAUUCUUGACGUUUUCAAUUUGCAUGGCGGGGAGGGGGGGGUAUUUUCGAUUGUUGCUGUGAUUUUUGAUUAGAGGGCUGCUCCUAGGGUUUCAUCGAUCUCUUGAUAAUAGGAAGAUUGUUCAGAUUGUUUCCCCAUGUUGUUUGACAAUGUUGGCAUUGUUAGUCACAAGCACAUCUCAGUGUUCAAUCGUAGUUCACAAUAUUAUCAGAUGUUUAGUGGUAUUAUGCAAUUAUUGUUGUGAGAGCUUCUCAAUUUCUUUAGUGUUGUCCAAUCUUAGGUUGCAACCUUUAGCCAAUGCACUAGAAAAUCUUAUGUUUUGUGCAAUUUUAUUUGUGGCACUUAGAUUAUUUUAUGCCCGCUAAUAAUCAUUUUGCUAGAAUGUCAAAUAUAUGGUGUUUAUUGUGGCUAGGUAACCAUAGGAACACAUCCAUAUUGAUGUAUACUUGCUAGGCCCCUCUGAAAUAUAUUGCAUGUCUGUAAACUAGAAUAAAUUAUUUUUCAAAUGUAGAGCAUCUUUUGUAUCUUAAUGGCAUAUAAAUUCAGAAAAUAUUGGUUUCAUUGACCAUUGAUGACUUAAUUUCAUAUACAAGAUAGCCAGCACAGUAAAGGAAUUCUAGAAUAGUGCUUGCAUAAAAUGGUAUGAAGCCCAAAAAUAAAAAUAAAUAAACUAUGAGUAAGUCUCCCAUUAUGGCAAAUUUUGUGCAUACAAAAUUACUAUCCAUAUUACAAUUUUAAUUAAUAUAUUUUUCAUUAACUUUGACACAUAAUAUUGUGUCCAAAUAAUAGUUAUUAUUCAUUGUUAUACAAGUGUAGUCUAUAUCAUUAAAAACUGAUUUUGCAAAAUUUAAAUUAUUUGAUGAACAAAAAAAUUGUUUUCUUCUUAAAAAAUCAUUUGAGUUAAUUUUCUAAUGUUUCCUAUCGUAUGUAGUGUUACACAUAUAUUUGCAUAUUUCUGUGUGUGUUCAUU
rnacentral:lncRNA from 1 species